rnacentral:rRNA from 1 species
CGUAUGCAACCUACCCACAACAGGGGGAUAGCCCGGAGAAAUUCGGAUUAAUACCCCAUAAUGCAUAUUUAUCGCAUGGUAGAUAUAGCUAAAGCUUUCGAGUGGUUGUGGAUGGGCAUGCGUCUGAUUAGCUAGUUGGUGUGGUAACGGCACACCAAGGCAACGAUCAGUAGGGGGUCUGAGAGGAUGAUCCCCCACACUGGUACUGAGACACGGACCAG